AUGCAGCCCCUCGCAGCGCCCGCCGUGGGGGGGCCGUGGGCAGAUGAGUCAGCAGCCCCCACCCGCGCUGGGACGGACGGACAGACAGGCGCGGAGGGGAGGACGCGGAGGCGGUGGCGGAGGCGCGGGAGGCGGCUGGGGAUACGCUGGGCGUGCGGAGGGGAGAGGGCCCACCUGCCGUGGCCCAGCCUGCCUCACCCUACGGCCACCGGCUCCCGGCCUGGGGGGGCAGCGCCCCCGUUUCCAGCCCCCAGCCGUCCUGGCCGAGGUUCUGCGUACAAGGCAAGGGGGUGCCCAGCACCCCCAGAGCGAGGGCUGUGGGCUGGCAGCUCACAGGUGAGCGUGGGAUGGGGGCCUGGGGGUGCCUGUGUCCCACACAGGGUUUUGCAGCGCUGCUGGUCGUGGCACAAGAUGAAAAAUGUCAGGUUUUUGUCCCAAACCGGACGGCAGGCUGGAAAUUGUGUGCAAAAGGAGGCAAGCGGCCAUUUGCACCGAACCCUGGCCCCCGUCCAGGGCGCGUCGGAGGGGCUGCUUCCAACCCAGCUGGGGGGCACCAGGAGUCCCAGCCCCUGCGGGACGUGGCUUUGGGGGCCGCGGAGGCAGCGGGGUCGUUGCGGCCCUUGGUGCUGCCGCGGCGGGCAUUGCGCGAGUGGAAGAGCCCAGCGUGGAAGCGAUGCGGUGGCACCGACGCCCGCGGCUGGGCCGGCCAGGGGGGCUUCCAGGGCUUUGCUCCCUCAAGGGGCAUCCACAGAUAAAGGGGGGCUCAAGGCUGGCAAACGUAACCCUGGGGUGCAGCGGGACCCCAAGACCCGCUCCCCGCUGCGCCCCCAGACCCACCGAGGCCCAGGACCCCCAGCCCUGACGGUGACCCCCAGCUGCACUGAGCCCCGCUGGGGGGACCCCCGGCUUUGCUGGGCGCUCCCAGUCCUGCCCCCCCCCCCCAUCCCAGCAGCAUCCCCAGAGCCCCAGCACCCCCCCCAGCAGGACCUCCAGGGACCCCGAGGCACCGCUGAGCCCCACAAGCCCCCCCCCGGGGUC
rnacentral:lncRNA from 1 species